AAGCAGCCCUUCGUUAUAGGCGGCAGCUGGAAUUCGGACAGAGACCUUCACCUCCGACCCCGGGGGGGCUGUCUCAGCGGGCACCAAACGGCCUCGAAGCCACGCCCACGGCGUCGCUCUGAACGCAGAAACGCUCGGACAAGGUCUGCGUGACACACGAUCCAAGGGCCAGACCAACGCAGCGCAUCGUAACACCUGGUAUCUGAGCACGCUCCAUUUAUUCAGGCACGCGAAGAAGUGCCAUAGUGACUGAAGUGGGCAUGCUAACAUAUCCCAGCUCUGUGCUGUUAAAGGGGGCAUUGGCACUUUUACAUGCAUCCUGUUGGUAUUACGGUAGUAAAGGUAUGGGGAAAUACGUGUAUAUAUAUAAACGCAUGUGGUAAUCCCCACAAUACACACGCAUUUUCCUCGUAACUGCCGCGAUAAGGGCACUUCCAACCUUUAAAAAGCUUUUUCGUCUGAGUUCAUUGUGCCCUCUAGUGUAGGCACUAGAAAUGCACGAUCUUCAUUUUUGAGGGCUGUUUGAGCUAUAUUAUUAUAGAGUAUACCCUGUACUUAAAUCGUUUAUUGCACAGUGACAAUGCAUUUGUUUCAGAAAAUCAUAACUCACUCUCAGCAGCGCGUCGUGCUGCUGGUGUACACUGAUUACAAACACAGUGUAUUUCCUCUUUAGCCAGAUAUCUUCGGGAACGAUAAUAGCACGGUCUGGCCAUGCAACUUCAGCAUUUGCCCAGAGCAGGGGUUAGAGGAGCAGCCAGAGGGUGGAGGUCAGCGCGUGAGCGGCGCGCUCGUACUCGUAAGCGCGUACGCGCUCCCCCAUUGAUGCGCGCUUCCCGCUCGCCUAUUGGCCAGUGCGCUGUAGCGCUGCCAGAAAGGGGCCGGCCGGCCUGAAGGGAGCUUCAUAGAAGAAGUGAGGAGUGACGGACUGCCGGUUGGAGAUAACGAGGAGCGGGGAAGGACCGGCAAUAGCCGGGGCACUCGCGUCCCACACCGGCUGUCCUAACCUUAGAACUUGGGCUAUUUCUAGUUUUACCGAGUAUCGUUCGGGCGCCCAUGUCGCGUCGCACUGCUUUUAUUUUAACUCAGUUUUGUCUGGUGAUUUGUUGUCCCGUGCGAUGGUCUCUUUGAAGCGGCUGUUGCGGGCUCCGUGGUCACCGGCGCCGAAACCACGGUAAACAGCGACAAUGAGGGCGGUGAAGCCCGAAUUAGAGUGGCGUCCGCCGGCAACGCAACAGUGUGAGCUGCGGAGAGGCGCCGGGCGAAGAGCCGGGGAGUCCGACGCGGGUCGCCGCCAGUGGACGAAAGUUGAUCCGCUCACAGCGCAGAAAGGGUCACCCGGUUUACCCUUCACUUCUGAUCCCAGCUCCGCAGGGGGAGUGCAGGGCCCAGAAAGGCUUCGGAGAGCAGGGAAAAGGACAUCGGUCAGAAGAAGAUGCGUCGCUAGUGUUUGAAACAAAAACUCCCUGAUGCCCGACUUAAAAGAGGUGAAUGCAAAAGAGAAAAAAAACUAUGCUUAGCUAAGAAUACAAAACAAGAACUUUAACCUCAAAGUGACAUCUGUAGCGACUAUAUGACUGCCAGUGUGUGCUGUAAUUUCUACUGUUGAACGUCACCUAAUUAACGUAACUACAGCCUUUAUCCCAAACCCUUUGGUGAACACUCCCUCCUUUGAUGAACACUCCCUCCCCAGCAGGUAAGUGCUUAUGAAUGUUUACCACAACUUGACUUUUGCACCACUUUGUGUAUUUUCGUUCACAUGUAUUUCUUGUGAAAUAAAUGAAGAACCUCCAAGACGAAUUGAUAGUGAAAAUGAAAGGCAUCCUGUAGGGUAAGUUCCUCGGAGCUGCCAAUUCCAAUUUGGGCGGCCGCAGGACGGAGAUGCUUCUGCUCCUUCUGGGCUGACUGUGACUGUCGUCUUAAACGCCUUCAGUCCAGGCCUCUUCUGGCAGAGCGCGAUAAACGCUGAUUCUUUCUAUUGCCAUGUUUGCUUCUGUAUUUAGGGUGAUUUUAAAACAAUUAAAAAAAUCCCAAACUUUUAAUGUGAUUUGGCUGUCAUCUCGAAAGCAUAAUUUUACAGAAACGGUCCAUGUCCUUUAUCACGUUUCCCCACGACGCUUCUGGAAUUACACCGACGGGUUAUUGUUAAUACUGUAAGAUGUGUUUUACUCUAUGAAGUACCCAAUGGAUACAUAAACAGUAUGCAUAUUUAACCUGUCUGACUGCUGCUUUUUAAGUUUCUAGUCUCUAACGGUGUGCAGUGUUUAUGGACUAGCUUGAGCCUGGGAUAGAGUAUUAUAUCAGUGUCAUCAUCACUGAAUAUCUACCUUCCAACCUGUUAUCCUGGUAAAGGUCAUAUGGGGUCCUGCAGCCUAUCACAGGCAGCACAGGGUACCAGGCUGGGGGAUGGGAUGCCCAUCUAUGGCAUUCAUAUACACACACUCAUUUGUACACAGCUCGAGUAAAUGCCAUCUGUAAAUUCCCAACUGCAUAUCUUUGGACUGCAGGAGGAGACCAGACACAGGGGGAACUCCACACACACUGGGCAGAGACUAGAUAAUACAUAAUCUCAGAAACGUCCUGCUCACACUUCCUCAUAGGAAGCUCCCGGAGAGACUCCGAGUGCCACCUCUGACUGAGUGCCUGUCCGAAAACCGGAACAUUCAUGAGCAUCCAUUUCCAGGAGACUGACCCAGAUGGAAUUUAAGGCACAGACCUGCGCCGGGUGGGACUGUAACAUGCUGUUCCGUUAAUCCAUUCUUCAUUGGUUACUUUCACUCAUUUGGAAUGGAUUAAGCAAGGCAUCUGUAAUACUGCGGAAACAAAAAGUAGAAAUGUGUCCUGUAACAGAUCAACUGCUCUCAUAGCCAAGUCCCAUCUAAUAUCCUUUUCCCAGUCAAUUGCAGUAGGGUUGAUACCGAAGUAACGAGGUCUGUUACCAUGGCUGCCAUUCCAAAGUCUGUAAAGCUAUAGGCGAGUCCAAGCUUCUUGUAGCUCCGAAUGAGGCAGCGGGCUUCAGCAUUGCCCUGCUGUCCCCCUUGCCCACCUCAUGUCUGAUGGGUUUGGCUGGACCAGAACCUGGUCCUGGAUCUCCAGAGAAAACUAUAGUCAUAGACAAAAUGACGUUUCAUGAACCAUUCGCUGUACAAUUUCACGCCACUAGAUGGAGCGCUCCGUACAAAAAAGGGCUCAAAGCAUGUUCCAAAGCAAACCAAGAAUCCCAUCUAGUGGGAUGCAAAAAUAUAGCAAGUGGUUCAUGAAACGUCAUUUUGUGCAUCAGUAGAAAACACUAAGGAGAAACCACAGGUCUCAGAGGUUGGUGUGCAAAAGCCUUGAACUCCAGAAAAGACCUCCCCCUGUACUGUAUUAAUCUUUUCAUUUUCCUAUUGACUAAUCCAUUACACAGAAACAUUUGCAGGAUUCCUAAUAACUUUUCAUUCCAGUGAGACAGACCCUGCUCAGAGUACACAGAAAGUGGCAAUUAUUGUUGUUGCCCCCUGCUCCCUGCCUCAGUAAUCAUGACUAUUCAUAGGUGUGCUGGUGGUGAUUCUGUAUGAUUGGUCUUCAUCACGGUGAUCUGCAUAUUAAGGGCAAACCGCAAACAUAAUCAGCACCGUAGGAACAAGGGACUCACACUGCAUGAAUAUGCAUAGACACCUGUGUUUUCGGAAACCUGCUUGUAAAGCCGCCGCAGGAGUUUUACACAUUGAAGACUCCCAGACACUGGUGUGGGAGAUGGUGGACGAUUGGACUGGAGAGAAGGUAAGCGCGAUGGCAAUGAAGAUGCUCAAUUGGAAUGUGCCGGAACAUUCCCAACGAUACAGUAAAAACGGGGUAAUAACGGCGCUUCCACGUCCCUCAAAUCCCUUGACCUGAGAUGAAAUCGUAAUGUAUCUGCACACAAGUAAUCUUUUCUGUACUGUUACAUGUUCCUUUGCCUAUAUUCUUUACUUAUUGCGUACUUUCAUUCCGUGUGCUGGGUGUCACUGCACAAGUGAGCAGUCCAGUGCACCUGCAGCGAAGAUAAUGGGAAUGAAAUCAUGUUGCCAAAGUAAAAUAAAGCACAUAAAAAGUCAACGUCAGGUCCCACUCGAGCCAGAUGAGGAUUUGUACGUUUUUGUCCUGUUAUGGAUCAUUAUUUCAUCACCAUCAAUAACGCGCUCGAAGUGGUGCCUGGUCACACAGACGUAGCCAGACUGAGUGUAAGAUGUGCAUUCUACAGAUAUCAAGUGCUGUCCCUUUGUUACACGUCAUGGAAACUCGUAUUGGCCUCAGCCUGUCCGUGGGGACACAUCUGGAAGAGAGAAAAGCAGCUGCAGGUUUUCAGUGAUGUCACGCUGACCAGAUCCACACAGCGGUGUUUAAUAGGAUAACUUCAUAAGCUAUACAAGUGUUGGUUGCUUGGGCUUGAAGCGUGGGAGGGGGGUGGAGUGGAUUGAGGAGCAGAUGGAGGGCCGGGUCGGCAAGAGAGGGGUCUGAAAAACUGUGCUUUCAUGGAGGCAGCUGUUGACAGGCGCAGCAUGUGGCUCACUUUUCACGGUGUUGACGUCACCGUUUCUUCGUCCCCAGAAGGAGGUCUGAGCUUUUUUUUUUGGUGUUGCCUCGUUUUUCAAACAAUGAAUGUGUCGCUCGGCACUGGUAAAGACACAGAGCACAACUGCACGCGCCCCGCUUUAACAUUCACGCUAAAUUAAUCAAGCGUGCGUGGAAGCCACUGGCUUGAACGUUGUGCAAAUGCUAAUCCUUCACAACUCUCGCCAAAUUAGCACAGUUGAUCUUCGGUGAGUCACUCUAACAAGUGCUCUGGCAUCCCAUCCAGAAAACUCUCAAUGCUGCUCGUCAGACAGAAUCCAAGGGGGAUUGAUAACUGCGAGAUUCGCCUCGUCAUCGCCAUUGAACAUCUUCGGCUUGCAGGCAGCUGUGUGGCGGUCUGCGGACGUGUCACUUGACACAACGCCAUAUAGCAGGGGUGGGCAAUCUUAUCCAGAAUGAGCCAGUGUGUCUGCAGGUUUUUGGGAUAACCUUUAGGUCAGCUGUUCAAUCCCAGGUGUGAGGACUCUUCAGCCAACCAGUCCUCUAAUUAGUAAUCUAAUUAAGGAGUUGCAGUGAAAACCCGCAUACACAACAGCCCUUUUUGGAUAAGAUCGCCCACCCCUACCGUAGAGGAACCUCAGAUUGUUAAUUGCUUCUGGUGAAUGUCACACAAAGCCCGCGAAGCGAACGUCGUAGAUGUCACUGGGCGGAGUCACCUGGAGGAUCAUCAGAGAGAGAGAGGGGCAAACAGUCUGCCAGUAAACAGUCUGCCUGCAGUUCUGGAUUAGUUCCGAUUAGCAGUUAAUUAGUUCACUUAAAUCCAAAAGUAAGUCUUAGUCAUCUUAUCUGUCUAUGACCAGUCAGCCAUACAGUUAGCAGGAAGACCCUUCAUAAACAUUCGUAAACAGCUGCUAUUUGAAAACAAGGAACAUCCCAAUAGACUAUAAAAUCGAAUCACUUGGUAAGUGCAGGUGAGGGAAAAACUUGUGCACGAGUUCACAACAGCAACAUCGAAGUACUAUAAAAAAGUUAAUGUGCAGGGGUGGGAAACCUGUUCCAUGGGGGGCCGGUGUGGGUGUGGGGAUUUGGGAUGUCCUCCCAAUCAGCCAAUAACAGUGGGCCCCCAGGACUGGAGUUGAGAGCCACUGCUUUGUUAUUAGCUGAUCGAGAGGUCAUCCCUAAAGCCUGCACCCACACCAUGGAUCAGGUCCCCCACCCCUGACUUAAGGAUUUGUCACUAAGAUACAUGGUGCAUCUGUAACAUUUAACCACUAAGGAUCAGAAGCUUUGACUGUGCAUGCAGGACCGUAGCCAAGAUUAUUUUUUUUUAAAUACCAAGGUCAAAACUGUUAGCCCUUCCUAGGUCUGCCCCAUAAUGGGUCAUGGCUAUUGGAGUCGCAGCAUACAUACUGAGAACCUGACUUUGGUGUCCCCAAUGGUAGGUAUGGGCAUGUGUGCAUGAACAUGUGUCCAGAAAUGAGGAGCCCCUCCCAACCACUAAAAAAAAAUCUUGUACUGGGACCCAGUAUAAGAAGCAACCACUGGUGCAGUGGGUAUGGAUGACAGACUGGUUCCCCACACUCUUUUCGCACUUUGCUGGUCUCCUUGUAUACAUGUCAGGACACUACACAAUCAAUGGCGCACUUACAGUGAAUCACCAUUCAGCACCAUCACUCUUGAAUAGACUCAAGAAUCUCCCUCAGGUUACACUGGCAGCUGUUCCUGCAGAAGGCAGCGUUUCACAUUUUCAGAAUAAAGUUAAUUUAAAAGCUUCA